UUUAAAGAGCGACCGGGCGAUGUGUGCAUAUUUUAGGGCUAAAUCACUUUUAUAAAACAACUAAAAAUUACUCUCAAAUCCACUUUAUAAGAAAUAUUUAAAAAUCUUAACCAUUUAAAUAAACUUAUUGUAACCCACCUCUCCUUGUAUAUAACUGCAUCUUGAUCUGAUUUCAUUCCUAAUAAAGAAAAUUGACUAUUUAUAUUCUAAUAAAAAAAUCAACCACGACGAUAUACAAGCCAAUAAAUACAAGUAAAAAUAAUCGUGGACUAUCAAUUACAGGGCAGGUUCCUCUGAAAAGACUAAAAUACCGCCAAAUUUUUUUGUUUUCAAGAAAAUAACUAAUACUAACCUGGCAAAAAAUUUUACAUUUAAAAUAAUAGGGUA
rnacentral:rRNA from 1 species